AGUUGACAUGAUUGGGGGCGAAGCUCCCAUUUGACUGAGUGAUUCGUUUUGUUGGGUCUGGCCAGCCCACAUAACUAAGAUCUCGGUGAUUGUCAAUUAAGAUUUUUACUUUGAGUAGAGUUUCAUCCUAAUGUAUAGACUCACACUAUGUAGUUGUCACAAUAAGAUCUUAUUUUAUCACGAUAAGCACAACAAUGACUAGAAUGACUAGUAUCACAAACUAGAAUACCAGAUAUACAAUUUCGAGGACGAAAUUUUUAUAAGGAGGGAGGAAUGUAACACCCCGCCCAUUUAUAUUAAGUUUAGAAUUUAAUUUAAACUUAGAUUUAAGAUGAUUCACGCCGGAUAAAAGAAAAUGAAUUUAUUUUUAAUUCCAACAAAAAUGAUUUACAAAAAAACAUUUGUAAAUUUAGUUAUUAAAUUUAUAUGCAUUACAUAUUUAUUUAAUUUAACAUUUAGCAUCUACACGAGUUAUUUAUUUAAGCGAACACUGAAUGAUUAUUACAGUUUUCAUUAUAUUUUAUUUAUUUCUUUUCCACUCACACUUUACACUACACUACACUACACGAUAUAUUUUUUUUUCCCCACCAAUUUCACCCACUCUUCCACUCACACUUAUAAGCUGACCCACUCUUCCACCCACACUUAUAAACUGAUUUCACCUAUAAAAGCCUCCAUCCUUUAACGCCUAUUCAUCCCAAAAUCAAUUCUUCUCAUUGAGCUUUCUACUUAAUUCAGUUUCCCAAUCUUGAGCUUCUUCUCAAUCAUAUUCUACAGCAGCUGAACAAUAGAAUAAUCUCAUAAUAAUUUCAUAAAACAAAGGAUCGCCUUUUACUCAACCAUCGACUGGCUUUGUGACCAGGGGGAUUAGCGCUGCUUUCCCAAGACAGGUUUUUAUGUGUAUGAUCUUCAGGCUUUGCCUAUCCAGGUGGGCUUACUUUCCAAAUGUACAAAGUAUGAUUGAGUUAUUAAGCUCUAAAUGUUUUCAAUGAAAUGCAAAUUGUUUAUUUAAUGUAAUGAAAACUGUUUAUCCAAUAAAAUGUUUAUGUGCACUCUGCUCUGUUUAAGGCUCGCAUAAGUUAAUCGAUCGAGGUUCUCUUAUGACCUAACACGUUGUUUGAGAAUUGUGUACACCUAUUAGCUGACUCGGUGGGUUGAUCUCCAUCGGGCACUAAUCAUGUAUGAGGCGUUAUAAGGGUGCUCGACGGGAUGUGUUCCGGAGCAUUGGGUCCCAAAUGGGAACUUGACUGGGUUACGCCCUCAGUUCAAGUAAAGCGGGAGAUAUGGAUCCGUCGGUGGCUAAAAGGUCCGGGAUCACAGCGAGUAACAGAAAGGGAGUGUGACAUGUGCGCACAAAUGAAAAAUGUUUUAACAUGCUUAGAAGUACUUCUUUCAUUUUAAAACCUUCUAAGUCAUGUCUAGUAUAAUUGGAUAAACUGCUCUUACGAAAAUAUGAAAUGUUUAUGAAAAUGCAUGCCCACUAAGUACAUUAGUACUUAGCCCAAAAAUACUUUCAAAUGUUUUCAGGUUGGCUGGCUGGUGCUGACGGGACGGAGCUGAGGCUAGAGUUAAAUUCCUAUGUUAGACUUCCGCUGUAGCAAUUACUCAUAUCAGUCUUUUGUUUUCUCAACUUAAGAUGACUUCAUGUCGAACUUAAAUUUGAAAUUCUAGUUUUAUGCUAAUGAAUGUUGGUUGUCAGAAACAUGAAACAAAACUUGUGAUCCAAAGGGGCAUAGCCCGACUUUCUAUCCUAUUUCGGGUUUUUACAAGGUUGUUCCUUGUUUAUUUCUAUGAAUUAGUU